GCGCCAUUGAGACUUUAAAAUGACGUAGCAAACGCAGCAAUAGUUUCUUCAAUGGCGGUGCCGACAGGCUGCUUGUUCGCUGUUUUCUGCAAUAUACUAACAGCCAGGUACACAUUGCUGAAGGACAACCUCUUCUUGAAUAAACUUGAUGAACAUCUCAGCUCAUCUUCCAGAACAUCUUUUCUGGCAUGAUUUCAGAGCUGAUAACAUGUUUACGGUUGCUGCUGAUCCCUGCAGGGGGGUGGAUUGGUCAUCAGGAAUACUGAGAGUUUUUCUGGUGGGCCAACUAGAAUUGAGGUGUUAGAUGCCUAUUCAUCUAUUGCUGUGCCUUACAAUGUGAUGCCAUAUUAGGUGGAAAAUGAUAUGGGUCAGACACUAGGACCAAGCAGAAAACGGCCACUCAUGUUGAAGCCAGUUUCCCUUUAAACUGCCCACAAGCUCAUCAAUUGUCUGUACCUUUUUUUUCUCUAAUGUGUGAUUGGCCAUCCCUACGGUCACUCCAUGAGCACCUGCACAUGGAGCACCUUAUUUCCAUUAACAUUUGAAUCUGCGUUUUUGUGUGCAUAUGUGGGUAUGUUUUUGGUGGGGAAAAUCGAGGUUGCACUGCAAAUGGUUGAAUGCUUGCUUAACUGUCUGUCUUUUCUUGACAUAAUACAGAACAAAGAUGGUGUGGUGUGUUACAACUACAUCUUCUUAUUUAAAGCAGUCUUUUCCAACCAGGGGUACAUGCUCCUCUAAUGGUACAUGAAAAUUGUUGAUACGUGGAAACAUUUAAUUUCCAAGAUUAUAAGUAAAUAUUCUCAGUCAUUUCAUAUUAAGCCAGACAAUAAAAUGGAACGUGUGUGCAACAACUAGUUUCCCCAGAGAGACAAUAACCUGUGGCACAGCUGCACCAAAAUCACAACAGCUGUGUUACAUUCUACCUUUGGAGAAUUAUCGACACGUAUAAGUGACGGGGUAGUCAUGAUAUGACCAAGCUCUGGGGGGUACACAAGACAAAAAAGGUUGGGAAACACUGAUCUGAAGUAUUGGAAAACAAUAAUCGUACGCUAGUUAUCCAUUGAGUUGCUUGUAUUAAGCACUUACAUAAGUGACACUUUCAUCAAAGGAUGCCUCAUGGCACAUCUCCAAGUCGUACAAGUCACAUGUUGCAAUGUGGUGUGUUUUGAGCAUUUAGAUAUGCUAUUUUCACACUUUGUAAUCAUUUCUACCUGUAAUGACGCAUUCCCAAUCGUGUCACCUGCAGCGUUCAAGUGUUUAAAGUGUCAACAUGCACCUUUUUUAGUACCCGCAGACCAAUCUGCUUCAUGAAGGACAUUUUUUUUGUUGUCCUUUCGACAGUUUUACAUGAUGCAGUUACAAUGAAUAAAACACUACUUUUGCAAUACAACAUCAUUAUGCAGAUGCAUUGUCAAUACAUUAUGUAGAGCUUUACGAUCUGUUCUAAAAUAAAACUAUUUGUCCAUUUUUUUUAGAUGGUUAAAUUAUUGUUUUCCAUACUUUAGCACCAACUAGUCAAAGCUGUGAUUGCAUGCAGACUUUUUUUUUUUUUUUUUUUUUUUAAUAAUAUAAUCAUGUUCAAACCUAUUACACACUA